rnacentral:rRNA from 1 species
UACACUCCUACGGGAGGCAGCAGUGAGGAAUAUUGGACAAUGGGUGGAAGCCUGAUCCAGCCAUCCCGCGUGCAGGAAGACGGCCCUAUGGGUUGUAAACUGCUUUUAUCUGGGGAUAAACCUACUUACGUGUAAGUAGCUGAAGGUACCAGAAGAAUAAGCACCGGCUAACUCCGUGCCAGCAGCCGCGGUAAUACGGAGGGUGCAAGCGUUAUCCGGAUUUAUUGGGUUUAAAGGGUCCGUAGGCGGACUGAUAAGUCAGUGGUGAAAUCCGACAGCUUAACUGUCGAACUGCCAUUGAUACUGUUAGUCUUGAGUAAGGUUGAAGUGGCUGGAAUAAGUAGUGUAGCGGUGAAAUGCAUAGAUAUUACUUAGAACACCAAUUGCGAAGGCAGGUCACUAAGUCUUAACUGACGCUGAUGGACGAAAGCGUGGGGAGCGAACAGGAUUAGAAACCCGAGUAGUCCCAUGA